UGCAUAUCCAUUAAGCGGAGAAAAGAAACUAACAAGGAUUCCCCUAGUAACUGCGAGUGAAGCGGGAAAAGCUCAAAUUUAAAAUCUGGCGGUCUCGCGGCCGUCCGAGUUGUAAUCUGGAGAAGCGUUUUCCGUGUCGGACCGUGUACAAGUCUUCUGGAAGGGAGCGUCGUAGAGGGUGAGAAUCCCGUCUUUGACACGGACCACCGAUGCUUUUGUGAUGCGCUCUCGAAGAGUCGAGUUGUUUGGGAAUGCAGCUCAAAAUGGGUGGUAAAUUCCAUCUAAAGCUAAAUAUUGGCAAGAGACCGAUAGCGAACAAGUACCGUGAGGGAAAGAUGAAAAGCACUUUGGAAAGAGAGUUAAACAGUACGUGAAAUUGUUGAAAGGGAAACGUUUGAAGUCAGUCGCGUCGGCCGAGACUCAGCCUUGCUCUCGCUCGGCGCACUUCUCGGUCGACGGGUCAGCAUCAAUUUUGACCGCCGGAUAAAGGUCUUGGGAAUGUGGCAUCUCUCGGGAUGUGUUAUAGCCCUGGAUUCGGAUACGGCGAUCGGGAUUGAGGAACUCAGCGCGCCUUUAUGGUCGGGGUAUCAACCCACGUAACGCGCUUAGGAUGCUGGCGUAUGGCUUUAAGCGACCCGUCU
rnacentral:rRNA from 1 species